rnacentral:rRNA from 1 species
CCUGAAAGAUGAUCAGGUUGAUAGGUUGGAGAUGGAAGUGCGGCGACGCAUGGAGUUGACCAAUACUAAUCGAACGAGGACUUAACCAA